UUUGGUGACUAUUGCGAAGGUGCUCACCUCUUCCCUUUCCGAACAGAGUCGUUAAGCCCUUCUGCGCAGAUGGUACUACGCAAGUGGGAGAGUAUGUCGUCGCCAAUC
rnacentral:rRNA from 3 species